UCCNGGAUCCUCACAGCUAAAUAUUUCUGUGC
rnacentral:piRNA from 1 species